UACGUAGGGGGCAAGCGUUGUCCGGAUUUAUUGGGCGUAAAGAGCGUGUAGGCGGCCUGAAAGGUCAGCUGUGAAAACUCGAGGCUCAACCUCGAGACGUCGGUUGAAACCAUCUGGCUAGAGUCCGGAAGAGGAGAGUGGAAUUCCCGGUGUAGCGGUGAAAUGCGUAGAUAUCUGGAGGAACACCGGUGGCGAAGGCGGCAUUCUGGACUGCAACUGACACUGAUGAACGAAAGCCAGGGGAGCAAACGGG
rnacentral:rRNA from 1 species